CAUGCAAGCACCCUGAUUUUCCGUGUCUUUUUUCUUCGUGACAGACCGGGGUGAUGUCGGGAAAGGACAUUUUCCUAUCGUUAAAGGGACCGGGGUGAUGGCUGGAAAGGACAUUUUCCCAUCGUUAAAGGAUAAAGGGUCCGGUUAGCCCUGACCAUUAUCCGUUUCCAAUUCACCAACUCAAAGACGCUUGCCCACUCCAUCAUAUCUCUGUAAGUUUUCCCUCCCUGUGUAGAUCAACCGUUCUGCAUGUACAUUCUGGGUAUGCCCACAUCAUUAAUUAAUCAGCUGUGUAGAAGCUGUUUAGCCAUAAGUAAAGGCCUUUCAUAAAGAGGCUGUCAUGAUAAACCUGAAUCCGUAAGUUUUCCCUCCCCGUGUAGAUCAACCGUUCUGCAUGUACAUUCUGGGUAUGCCCACAUCAUUAAUUAAUAAGAUGUGUAGAAAACUGUUUAGCCAUAGUUAAAGGCCUUUCAUAAAGAGGUUUGCCUGUGACACAUGUUUAACACGUAUUGCUUGUUACAGAAUACUACUGUUGUACAUUUAAUAUCCACUAGCAGAUUUCGUUGC